AGCCUGGGAUUACAGGUGUGUGUCACUCUGCCUGGCUUAACACUGUUUUUCUAUCCCUGUUUAGCUGGCUGGCAGUGCCCCAGAGGCCGGCAUGGCUGCAGGACUUGAUGGUCAGUGCGAAACUGAUUUUACUGGGGCCAGAAUCUGCCUUGCCCAGUUCCUGGCAGUGAUCGCCUGAGGCCUGUCUCCGCGCCCUGAUAACAGGCUUAUGGGUUGAACAGAGGCUGCUGGGAAGGUCUCCAGAGCCAGCCGGAGACCGGAGCUAACCGCCACCGUCCAGCCCACCAAUAGCCAGCUUGUAAAGUCCCAGACCUGUCGCCUGCCCCACCCUGCAGGCUGCCCGUGCCUGGUGGUGCCUCCCACCCUGCUCCCCCAGAGCUGCUCAGCUGCCUGACCUUGAGAUGCCAAGCGACCUGUGGUGUCACCAGCCCUCAAAGGAGCCAGCCACCCUCCCGCGGGCCCGUCACGUCCCCUGGCUGGUGGCUGCCUCUCCAGAAAGUGGCACCUGCUCCGGGUUGUAAGCGGGGCCACCAUGAGCCUCCUCCUCCAAAGGCGUCUUCUGAGGACCCCACGCCUACGACAAAGGGCAGGAUCAAUCCCUCUUCUGAUGCGCUGUGAGAGGGCUCGCCCUACGAGGGAGACGGGAGACGAGACGUUUAAUUUAUCGCAGGAACUGGG